rnacentral:misc_RNA from 1 species
GAUGAAGAACGUAGCGAAAUGCGAUAAGUAAUGUGAAUUGCAGAAUUCAGUGAAUCAUCGAAUCUUUGAACGCACCUUGCGCCCUUUGGCUAUUCCGAAGGGCAUGCCUGUUUGAGUAUCAUGAACACCUCAACUCUCAUGGCUUGCCAUGAUGAGCUUGGACUUUUGGGGGUCUUGCUGGCCUGUGGUCAGCUCCUCUCAAAUGAAUUAGCCUGCCAGUGUUUGGUGGCAUCACAGGUGUGAUAACUAUCUACGCUUGUGGUUUUCCACCAGGUAACCUUCAGUGAUGAAGGUUCGCUGGGGCUCAUAAACGUCUCUCCUCAGUGAGGACAGCUCUUUGAACGUUUGAUCUCAAAUCAGGUAGGACUACCCGCUGAACUUAAGCAUAUCAAUAAGCGGAGG